rnacentral:lncRNA from 1 species
UUUUUUUUUGCCAUAAAUCUCUGUAAAUCUCAUGGAGCUAACAUUUUAGUGGAAGUUUUGCUUCAUAUCAUUGUUUCUUAACUUUGUUCUUUGUUUUUAAAUUAUUGGUUCCCUGAAGAGAAAAAUUCAAUAUCAGUUCUCCAUAAAAGCAAUUAAAUACUAAGAAAUAAGAGUUGCCAGGUGUGGUGGUGUACGCCUGUAAUCCCAAUGGCUAUGGAGGCUGAAACAGAAGGAUUGAAAAUUUGAGGCCAGCCUCAGCAACCUAGCAAGGCCCGACGCAACUUAGUGAGACCCUAUCUCAAAAUAAAAUAAGUAAAUAAAAAGGGCUGGGGAUAUUGCUAAGUGGUUAAGCAUCCCUGGGUUAAAUCCCCAGUACCAAAAAAGAAGAAAGAAAGAAAGAAAAAAACAAAACAGAAAUAAGAAUGUGCUGCAUAGAUUUGAGAUUUGGAGGUGACAGGCCAUUGUAACACACACAGUGUCCUCUCUCCUCCCCUCAAGAUAUGUUUUUUUGUCCCCGUGGGGUGAUAUUGUUGAUGACACCAGAAUACUUAUUUAGUACAUGAAGCAUGGAGGGGGAACUAUUUGCAGAAUAGGAUUAGAACAAAGGUCUUCAAGAAGCAGCCACCCAGGGCUUCAUGCCCCUUUUGUGAGGUGUGUGUGUGUGUGUGUGUGUGUGUCUGCUGUGUUUCUCUCAAUGUAAACUGCCCCUCAUGAAAGAAUCUCAGUCAUCUAUUUUGUACAACAUUAUCCAUGAACUCAUUACCAAUCUACUCCAUGGGUCUGGGCAGAAAACUGAAAACUGAUUAUACUUGUUAAAUUUAAGGAAAUUUCUACCUGAUAAUUUAGAACUUGGUUAGCCAAAAUGAUUAUUUGGAAAUUGGGUAAAAUACCUUAAAUAUGUUCCCCUCUUUAACAAAAACAGUUACUUAUUCUCUCUUAAGGAGAUGGAUUACUGGGAGUAUAAAAUUUGAAAAAAGUCUCUGAUAAGAGGUGACCUCUUGGAUGGGAUCUUAUGUCCUAGGUAGCCUAGGACAAACCUGGUUUAUGCCUGUUUUCUAGUAGCUUAUUAAAAAAGUCACGGGCUUUUUCAGUUUUUUAAAUUAAAAAAUAAUUUUUUUUUUUUUUGGUACUGAGGACUGAACCCAGAGGUGCUUAAGCACUGAGCCACAUCCCCAGCCUUUUUCAUUUUUUAUUUU